GAUAAACGCUGGCGGCGUGCCUAACACAUGCAAGUCGAACGAUCCCGCAAGGGAGAGUGGCGGAAGGGUGAGUAACACGUGGGAAUCUACCUCCUCGCAGGGAACAACCUCUCGAAAGAGAGGCUAAUACCCAAAAGGGUCAGAAAUGAUCAGAGUCGAAAGGCGUGAGGAGAGGAGCCCGCGGCCCAUCAGCUAGUUGGUGAGGUAAUGGCUUACCAAGGCUACGACGGGUAGGGGAUCUGAGAGGAUGUCCCCCACACUGGAACUGAAACACGGUCCAGACGCCUACGGGUGGCAGCAGUGAGGAAUAUUGGACAAUGGGCGAAAGCCCGAUCCAGCAACGCCGCGUGGAGGAUGAAGGCCUUCGGGUCGUAAAGCUCUUUUGUCCGGAGCGAAACGGUGCUGGUGAAUAUCCAGCGCUACUGACGGUACCGGAAGAAUAAGCACCGGCUAACUACGUG
rnacentral:rRNA from 1 species